rnacentral:misc_RNA from 1 species
GACCUCUACCUUCACCAUGAGG